GACGAACGCUGGCGGCGUGCUUAACACAUGCAAGUCGAACGGUAAGGCUCCAGCUUGCUGGGGUACACGAGUGGCGAACGGGUGAGUAACACGUGGGUGACCUGCCCUGCACUUCGGGAUAAGCCUGGGAAACUGGGUCUAAUACCGGAUAGGACCAUGGUGUGGAUACUGUGGUGGAAAGUUUUUUCGGUGUGGGAUGGGCCCGCGGCCUAUCAGCUUGUUGGUGGGGUAAUGGCCUACCAGGCGGCGACGGGUAGCCGGCCUGAGAGGGUGGACGGCCACAUUGGGACUGAGACACGGCCCAGACUCCUACGGGAGGCAGCAGUGGGGAAUAUUGCACAAUGGGCGGAAGCCUGAUGCAGCGACGCCGCGUGGGGGAUGACGGCCUUCGGGUUGUAAACUCCUUUCACCAUCGACGAAGGGUUUCUGACGGUAGAUGGAGAAGAAGCACCGGCUAACUACGUG
rnacentral:rRNA from 1 species